AUGAGGCAAGCGUUCCAAUCGAACAUGUUCACCUUCACUGACAAGCUAAUGGUGUGCCUCGGAGAAAUGUGUACAUGCUGUAAGGCACAUGGACGGAAAAUGUGUAUCCUGAAGAGUGAAGAGACAACCAUCCACGCCGCGCCUCCCACUCCAUCAACUGAUCAGCUAAGCACCCCACUAGUCAGCAAGAUUGGACCACGCCUUCCAGCCCCAGGGCUGCAUGAAGGUGCGUUGUCUGCCAGUAGUUCAAUUUCGAGGAAAAGGGAUGGAAGCUUAUCAUCAAGUAUACAAUCUGGUCCGUUGAAGAGGCUUUGUUUACCUUCCCCCAAUGCAGAAGAUGUCCUUGGUCAAAAACAGAAACCAAUAGCACAUGAUUCGACGGUUAUGGAGAUUGCCAGCAGCAUCAUGUCAAUGUAUGACGAUCUAACAGCGAUCCUUGUCACUUAUUAUGCCGAGAUGCGGCCACCCCCCACGGCGAUUUUGUUUGGUGCAACAACAGACGGGGCACCUGUGAAGAUUGACCUUGCACAGAGCAACUUUGGGAGGGACCCAUGGGUUGCCGGUUCUGUCCCCCCGCCACCCCCAGAAAACGCGCUUAGGGCUAUACGAGACCGGAUGUCAGCAGCCUCCAUGGCGAAUUUGCAGAGGAAUUGGAUUGUACAUCUUAAACCAAGGUUAAUAUCAAUCGAAGGGUUUGAAAUUCAGUGA
rnacentral:rRNA from 1 species